GUUCACAUUAUUUUUAAAAAGUGAUGGGCUCCCAUAUUGGCAGAGGCAUUGAGGCACUCAGCAGGGUCAACUGGGACAGUGCUUCUGAGCAAAGUCCUGCUAGCAGAGAUGAAUAAGGCUGAAGAAGCAAGUCCCUGGAGAGAAAGGAAGAGAUGAGAGAGACCCCCAAGUUGUGUGAUCACCUCCAGCACACUGGAGACUGAGCCGUUUCACAAGAUGAAGUAAAUCUCCUGUCAAAGGAUUGGAGAGAAGGAACCAACCGUCUUUCACUCACCCACUUAGAACCUUCUGGAAGCCCUGACUGCCUUGCUGUAAGGUCGGCUGAAUGGAAAGAGACAAAGGCUGUUGGCCCUGAUAACAGAGGACAUGGAGAACACUGACGGGCCAGCACAGAGAGGUGUCAAACCUACAUUGCAGCCUGAAGGAUGUCUUCACUUCCUCCUGCUCCUUCGCCUUGUAUCCUUCAUAGAUUUUUCCCGCAAUAAAACUUUGCA
rnacentral:lncRNA from 10 species